GAUGAAGAACGUAGCGAAAUGCGAUAAGUAAUGUGAAUUGCAGAAUUCAGUGAAUCAUCGAAUCUUUGAACGCACCUUGCACCCUUUGGUAUUCCGAAGGGUAUGCUCGUUUGAGUGUCAUUGUACUCUCACACUCUCCGAUCCUAUGGAUUCGGGGAGCGGUGGACUUGGGUGUUGCUGCCUUUCCUUGUGGCUCACCUCAAAUGUGUCAGUGCACCUCUUGGUUGGACAUAGUACGGCGUGAUAAGUGUCUUCGCCGGCACCUCGCAAGAGGGUGGCCGAUCGGGAGCUCUGUGCUUUCAAACCGUCUUCGGACAAUUUCUGACAACUUGACCUCAAAUCGAGUAGGACUACCCGCUGAACUUAAGCAUAUCAAUAAGCGGAGGA
rnacentral:misc_RNA from 1 species